GGGACACGUGGUAUCCUGUCUGAAUAUGGGGGGACCAUCCUCCAAGGCUAAAUACUCCUGACUGACCGAUAGUGAACCAGUACCGUGAGGGAAAGGCGAAAAGAACCCCGGCGAGGGGAGUGAAAAAGAACCUGAAACCGUGUACGUACAAGCAGUGGGAGCCUCUUAAUGGGGUGACUGCGUACCUUUUGUAUAAUGGGUCAGCGACUUAUAUUCUGUAGCAAGGUUAACCGAAUAGGGGAGCCGAAGGGAAACCGAGUCUUAACUGGGCGUUAAGUUGCAGGGUAUAGACCCGAAACCCGGUGAUCUAGCCAUGGGCAGGUUGAAGGUUGGGUAACACUAACUGGAGGACCGAACCGACUAAUGUUGAAAAAUUAGCGGAUGACUUGUGGCUGGGGGUGAAAGGCCAAUCAAACCGGGAGAUAGCUGGUUCUCCCCGAAAGCUAUUUAGGUAGCGCCUCGUGAAUUCAUCUCCGGGGGUAGAGCACUGUUUCGGCAAGGGGGUCAUCCCGACUUACCAACCCGAUGCAAACUGCGAAUACCGGAGAAUGUUAUCACGGGAGACACACGGCGGGUGCUAACGUCCGUCGUGAAGAGGGAAACAACCCAGACCGCCAGCUAAGGUCCCAAAGUCAUGGUUAAGUGGGAAACGAUGUGGGAAGGCCCAGACAGCCAGGAUGUUGGCUUAGAAGCAGCCAUCAUUUAAAGAAAGCGUAAUAGCUCACUGGUCGAGUCGGCCUGCGCGGAAGAUGUAACGGGGCUAAACCAUGCACCGAAGCUGCGGCAGCGACGCUUAUGCGUUGUUGGGUAGGGGAGCGUUCUGUAAGCCUAUGAAGGU
rnacentral:rRNA from 1 species